AUUGAUCGCUGGCGGCAGGCUUAACACAUUCAAGUCGAGCGAGCGGCGGACGGGUGAGUAAUAUCUGUGAAACUGCCUGAUGGAGGGGGUUAACUACUGGAAACGGUAGCUAAUACCGCAUACCAUCAGAUGUGCCCAGAUGGGAUUAGCUAGUAGGUGUGGUAAUGGCUCACAUAGGCGACGAUCCCUAGCUGGCCUGAGUGGAUGACCAGCCACACGGGAACUGAGACACGGUCCAGACUCCGACGGGAGGCAGCAGUGGGGAAUAUUGCACAAUGGGCGCAAGCCUGAUGCAGCCAUGCCGCGUGUGUGAAGAAGGCCUUCGGGUUGUAAAGCACUUUCAGCGAGGAGGCGUUACUCGCAGAAGAAGCACCGGCUAACUCCGUGCCAGCAGCCGCGGUAAUUC
rnacentral:rRNA from 1 species